AUUGAACGCUGGCGGCAGGCCUAACACAUGCCAGUCGAACGGUAACAGGAAGAAGCUUGCUUCUUUGCUGACGAGUGGCGGACGGGUGAGUAAUGUCUGGGAAACUGCCUGAUGGAGGGGGAUAACUACUGGAAACGGUAGCUAAUACCGCAUAACGUCGCAAGACCAAAGAGGGGGACCUUCGGGCCUCUUGCCAUCGGAUGUGCCCAGAUGGGAUUAGCUAGUAGGUGGGGUAACGGCUCACCUAGGCGACGAUCCCUAGCUGGUCUGAGAGGGUGACCAGCCACACUGGAACUGAGACACGGUCCAGACUCCUACGGGAGGCAGCAGUGGGGAAUAUUGCACAAUGGGCGCAAGCCUGAUGCAGCCAUGCCGCGUGUAUGAAGAAGGCCUUCGGGUUGUAAAGUACUUUCAGCGGGGAGGAAGGGAGUAAAGUUAAUACCUUUGCUCAUUGACGUUACCCGCAGAAGAAGCACCGGCUAACUCCGUG
rnacentral:rRNA from 1 species